GCUUAGCUCAGUUGGUUAGAGCGUGGUGCUAAUAUUCAUAUGAGACGCCAAGGUCGCGAGUUCGACCGUACGUACAUGAACGUCACCAACCCUGUGAUCAACG